rnacentral:rRNA from 1 species
AAAGCACUUUAAGUUGGGAGGAAGGGCAGUUACCUAAUACGUGAUUGUUUUGACGUUACCGACAGAAUAAGCACCGGCUAACUCUGUGCCAGCAGCCGCGGUAAUACAGAGGGUGCAAGCGUUAAUCGGAAUUACUGGGCGUAAAGCGCGCGUAGGUGGUUUGUUAAGUUGGAUGUGAAAUCCCCGGGCUCAACCUGGGAACUGCAUUCAAAACUGACUGACUAGAGUAUGGUAGAGGAUGGUGGAAUUUCCUGUGUAGCACCGUGAUGUGUACAUAUAGGA